ACGGAAGGCAGCAGUGGGGGAUAUUGCACAAUGGGGGAAACCCUGAUGCAGCGACGCCGCGUGAGUGAAGAAGUAUUUCGGUAUGUAAAGCUCUAUCAGCAGGGAAGAAAAUGACGGUACCUGACUAAGAAGCUCCGGCUAACUACGUGCCAGCAGCCGCGGUAAUACGUAGGUGGCAAGCGUUAUCCGGAUUUAUUGGGUGUAAAGGGUGUGUAGGCGGGACUGCAAGUCAGAAGUGAAAAUUAUGGGCUCAACCCAUAACCUGCUUUUGAAACUGUGGUUCUUGAGAGUGGGAGAGGUAAACGGAAUUCCUGGUGUAGCGGUGAAAUGCGUAGAUAUCAGGAGGAACACCGGUGGCGAAGGCGGUUUACUGGACCAUUACUGACGCUGAGACACGAAAGCGUGGGGAGCAAACAGGAUUAGAUACCCUGGUA
rnacentral:rRNA from 1 species